AUGGCAUUCACCGACGAGUACAAGGGCGACAGGGCCAUGGAGGCCCAUGUCAACACCAAGUUGCACGUCAUCCACACCAAUGACAAGAAGCAAAUGGCGAUCUCCCACGAGCAGUGCGAGCGCCACCUCGGCCUCCAGCGCCACAAGAUCGUCGGCAUUGAUCUUGAGUACAACAACGAGCCUGAAGCGACGCAGAAACCCGCCAUCUGCCAGCUCUCCAUCGGCAAGAAUCACCCAGUGCUGCUCUUCCAAAUGAGCGUCGCUGAAAGGUGCACCGUCUUUGACAACUUCCUUGCCGACCCCAGGUACACCUUUGCAGGCUUCUCCAUCAACGGCAACAAAACCAGGCUAGAGCGUGUCAAUCUAGAGGUCGCCAACUUUGUCGACAUCCAUAAGGAGUGA
rnacentral:rRNA from 1 species